rnacentral:rRNA from 1 species
AAUUUACCCCUUAAUUGGGGGCCAGAAUGAACGGUGAUACUACCUAGUCUAUGAUACCUUUUAUGUGAACUUUUACUCUGAGUGAAAACGCUCAGAUGCUAAUCUUAGACAAAAAGACCCUAUGAAGCUUACAGCCCCCUCCCACACAUAAAUUCUUUGCUGUUUCUUUGGGGAAAAGCACAAUAAGAAUAUUUCAACCUGUAGGAUCCUUAUAAGAACUACGAAAAAGCUCCUCUAGGGAUAACAGCGCCAU